rnacentral:lncRNA from 1 species
AAAGCUGCAGGGAGGUGAGAUCGCUCCACUGCAUUCCAGGCUGGGUGACAGAACGAGACUCCAUCUCAAAGAAAAAAAAAAAAGAAGGGGGUAAGUACCAUAUGCAAAAGCAGAGCCAGGUGGGGGACAAGAGUGUUCAAGAGUUGUCAUUUACCCAUUUAGAUGAUAUGGUCAGAGAGGCCUCCCUGAAAAGGUAAUGUCUGAGCAGAGACUUAUGGGAGAAGAGAGAACAGGGUGAGAAGAUCUCUGGGGGAGAAGUAGAAAGUGCAAAGACACAGAGGUGGCGAUGAGCCCCAUCUGGUUGGGACAGAGUGAAAAAGGGGUUCAGCUGGAGGGGCCUGAGAGGUGAGGGUGGCAGAACGUGUGGAGGUGUAAGCUCAGCAGAUGGUGGACACCCUGGAGGCCAUUGUGAGGCUCUGGUUCUCCCUCUGUGUGAUUUCAAGAUCCAUUGCAUGGUUGCAGCUGAGAAGUGAACAAGCCUUAUGACCUGGUUUCUCUUGAAGAGGAUCUUUCCGGUAGGUGCCUUGAGAAAAACACAGGAGGGAUUGGGAGGAUGUAGAAAUUCCUAUUUGUAAGGGUUUGCGAUCUGGGUAUAUGUCCACUGAGCCGUGAACUUACUGUCUCGAGUUCUGUAUUCUAGUUGGGACUGUUCUGCUAACUGCUGGAGGGUAUUGGCACAAUCACUUAACGUUUUAUUCAGAAGGGAAAUAGAAGUGAACACUUAGUAUUUAAGUUUGAGCCAGUUUCUUCUUAAUCCCUAUGAUCUGUAGCCUGCUAGGAUCCUCAAGUUUGUUUUUCUUUUUUUCCAACACCAGAGCAUGUGUCUUUGCUUGCCCCACCUCUGUCCUCAUAGUUUCUUUACUAACAGCUCUGACUUCCCUUCCCAACCUCUCUUAGUACAUGCGGAAGAUGAGAACAGUGGACAACGGCUUUGCUAAGCCCUGAAUUGUUCCGAAGUUUGAAGUUGUAACCCAUGAGCUACCUCUUUUACAAAAACAGUCAAAACUGGAUGUUAGAAAUAUUUUGGAGGUUAAAGGAAGAGUGUCUUGAACCUCCCUACCACUGAACUGUUUAAUAUUCUAGAAUUUAUGUUACACAGUAAAAGAUAGACAACUCUGUCUGCAGUUCUGGGACUGGGAUAUGCCUGUGCAUACACGCAUCUGCUCUGUUUUGGUUUCACUUCACUUUAGUUAUUUGAUUUGGUGUCUGCAAAACCCUGUGUGCACAUUUUUAUGAUCCUUGGGACAAUUUACUGCCAACCUUGCUUGAACUCUAAAAUAUGCCUCCAGUUUCGGAAAACCACAAAUUAUUUACCAAGGAGGCAAGGAAAUGGAGGUCACUGGGCUCAUUUCUUACAUAAUUUUCAACUUCCUUUCUGAGGCCUGACAUCUCCCGGCAGUCACAGUGAUGUCUUCCUUAGAUGGAUUCAAUAAUGGGGAAGAACAGAUGAAAAGUGGUGAAAGUUGCUAACUGCUGUGUUCCUCUGCUUGCUUUUCAUGCUGUGUGCCAGGAAUCAAAGCUGGAGGAGCGGAAGAUAUACAGGGAGUCCACGGAGCCUCCCCUGCAAGCAUCAGUACAGAAGUCGAUGAUAAUCUGGAUGCAAGCCCAGGAGUGUGGAGUCCACUGACUCAGAAGACCUGCAUCUAAGGAAUUGGCUGUUCUUAUCCUUAAGAAUGAUGACUGUGUUUCCAAUUCCAGUAGACCCUUUGAUGCGUUCUGAAUAAAUAUUCCUUUUGGAAUUGAACUUCUAGAGCCCUUAACUUUGGCCCACUCUAGUUUUCUGUCUGUUUUUUUUUUUUUUAAUAUUUUUUUUUUGUAAAGAUAAGGUCUUGCUUUGUUGCCCAGGCUGGUCUUGAAUUCCUGGACUCAAGCAAUCCACCUGCCUUGGCCUCCCAAAGUGCUGGGAUUAUAGGUGUGAACCAUUGUGUCCGAUCGCUCUCUGGUUUUUCUAAUAUCAUGAUCCCAACUCUGUUCUUUAUGUAAAUUUCCCUGAUCACAUGGUUGUAUCUUGGCAUUUCAAAAUCCUUGACAGACUUUGUUUUGUUUGAAUUUUACAAUGAACUUACAUGACUAGGCACGGUCCCCAGUUCAGUUUUAUAGACAAGGAUUCUGUAGGUCAAGAAGUGAAACACAACCAAUAACAGCAGGUGACAGGAUUUAAACCUGGGUCACUUUACUUAUUUUUUUCUACUCUAUCAUUAUGUGAAUCUAUCCUACCUCUGCAAUGACAGAUGGCCCUAGAGCAAGAACACUUCCUUACAUCUGGUAUACAGUCAAAAAGUAAAAAUUCCACACAAAUAAAUAUGGAAAGAAUUUUUACCUGCUCCUAUAGCUUCCUUUCAGGGACCUGGCACCCACAAAUGUUGGGUAACAGAAAGAGGACUUAUGUAACUUAACUCAAAGCAGAAAAGUUACAGAGACUGUCUUAGCAUAAUAGAGCAUGGAGUGGUCAUGCUUGGAUGUGCAAACUGUCUGAUAGUCUUGCACAUGGCUUGACCCCGAAUUACACUAGUGGGGCAAGUUGCCUGGGGCAAAGCAAACUUAUUGGACCCAAAGCUCUCAUUUGAGAAUUUUGUUGACUAAAAGUUAUAAAAUAUCAGCAAUUUCAUAUGGUUCAGCCUAAUAUUUUAUCACUCUUCCUUUUUCUAUUCUAAAACAAUAAUUUUUAAUAACGUAAGCUAUACACAUACAUGCUUUAAACAUACAACACCCUGACUAUCAUAUAGUGGAUAUUUCAAGAAGUAAAUGUUCAGCAUGUCUUCACCCCCACUUGAAGACAUAAUGUAUGUAUUAGGCUGUUCUGGCAUUGCUAUAAAGAAAUACCUGAGACUGUGUAAUUUAUAAGAAAGGAGCUUUAAUUGGCUCACGGUUCUGCAGGCUGUACAGGAAACAUAUUGGGUCUACUUCUGUGGAGGCUUCAGGGAACUUUGACUCAUGGUGGAAGGUGAAAUGAGAGCAGGCACCUCAUGUGACUGAAGCAGGAGCAAGAAAGAGAGAGCGAGCAAGGUGCCACACACUCUUAAACAACCAGAACUCUCUCUUGAGAAUUCACUCACUGUCUUGCCGUCAGCACCAAAGGGAUGGUCCUAAACCAUUCAUGAGAAAUCCUCCUCCAUGAUCCAAUCACCUCUCACCAGGCCCUACCCCCAACACUGGGAUUACAAUUCAAC